rnacentral:lncRNA from 1 species
AGUUAUUUAAUAUAGCAGUUCAUAAUUUAGGCCAUGGAUCAUCUCUGCAGAGAAUCCUACCAUGCUGCAUUCUUGCUUUAAACCUUUCGCCCUCUAAAACAAUGCCCAAGAGCCAAUGUUAGUCAUGGUCUUCCUGUAUUUGCUCUAGGUAAGCUGUUUCAUAGCCUUCCAGGACAACACUUGCACAGGUUAUCUUUAAGCACCAACAAAAGAAAUGGAGAAAUUUGAGCCAUGUAUCCUGAGCUCUGAAAGGCAGCAAUCAUCUUGACCCCAAGCAUACACCAUGUUCAGCUUCCUCCCCUUGGCCAGGUACCACAGCUACUUCUAUCCCAGUGAUCAGCAGGCCCUCCAGCAUGAAGACCUUUGAGAAGGAUCUAUAGCUGUCAACUCCUAAUAUGAUUUGUGCACUAUCACCUUGAAGUAAACCAGACUAGUUAUUUUCAUGCUAAGA